CCUACGGGAGGCAGCAGUGCGGCAUAUUGGUCAAUGGGCGCGAGCCUGAACCAGCCACGUCGCGUGAAGGAUGACUGCCCUACGGGUUGUAAACUUCUUUUAUAAAGGAAUAACGUGAGGAACGUGUGCCUUUUUGUAUGUACUUUAUGAAUAAGGAUCGGCUAACUCCGUGCCAGCCGCCGCGGUAAUACGGAGGAUCCGAGCGUUAUCCGGAUUGAUUGGGUUUAAAGGGAGCGUAGAUGGGUUGUUAAGUCAGUUGUGAAAGUUUGCGGCUCAACCGUAAAAUUGCAAUUGAGACUGGCAGCCUUGAGUACAGUUGAGGUAGGCGGAAUUCGUGGUGUAGCGGUGAAAUGCUUAGAUAUCACGAAGAACUCCGAUUGCGAAGGCAGCUUACUAAACUGCCACUGACAUUGAUGCUCGAAAGUGUGGGUAUCAAACAGGAUUAGAUACCCGUGUAGUC
rnacentral:rRNA from 1 species